AUUGAACGCUGGCGGCAGGCCUAACACAUGCAAGUCGAGCGGAUGAAGGGAGCUUGCUCCUGGAUUCAGCGGCGGACGGGUGAGUAAUGCCUAGGAAUCUGCCUGUUAGUGGGGGAUAACGUCCGGAAACGGGCGCUCAUACCGCAUACGUCCUGAGGGAGAAAGUGGGGGAUCUUCGGACCUCACGCUAUCAGAUGAGCCUAGGUCGGAUUAGCUAGUUGGUGGGGUAAAGGCCUACCAAGGCGACGAUCCGUAACUGGUCUGAGAGGAUGAUCAGUCACACUGGAACUGAGACACGGUCCAGACUACUACGGGAGGCAGCAGUGGGGAAUAUUGGACAAUAGGCGAAAGCCUGAUCCAGCCAUGCCGCGUGUGUGAAGAAGGUCUUCGGAUUGUAAAGCACUUUAAGUUGGGAGGAAGGGCAGUAAGUUAAUACCUUGCUGUUUUGACGUUACCAACAGAAUAAGCACCGGCUAACUUCGUG
rnacentral:rRNA from 1 species